GAUGAACGCUGGCUACAGGCUUAACACAUGCAAGUCGAGGGGAAACGACGGGGAAGCUUGCUUCCCCGGGCGUCGACCGGCGCACGGGUGAGUAACGCGUAUCCAACCUGCCUCUGACUGAGGGAUAACCCGUCGAAAGUCGGCCUAAUACCUCAUGGCAUCGUCUGCGGGCAUCCAACGACGAUUAAAGAUUUCGUCGGUCAGAGAUGGGGAUGCGUCUGAUUAGCUUGUUGGCGGGGUAACGGCCCACCAAGGCGACGAUCAGUAGGGGUUCUGAGAGGAAGGUCCCCCACAUUGGAACUGAGACACGGUCCAAACUCCUACGGGAGGCAGCAGUGAGGAAUAUUGGUCAAUGGGCGAGAGCCUGAACCAGCCAAGUAGCGUGCAGGAUGACGGCCCUAUGGGUUGUAAACUGCUUUUAUGCGGGGAUAAAGUGAGGGACGUGUCCUUCAUUGCAGGUACCGCAUGAAUAAGGACCGGCUAAUUCCGUG
rnacentral:rRNA from 1 species